CCGCCCCGCCCGCCCCCUGCCGCCCGCCGCCGGGACCCCGCGGAGCCUUCCCGGCCGGGGGCCCCCACCCGGCAGCGGCGCCGCCAGCGGGGGCCAGCGGCCGGGGCCGGGGGGGCUCCCCCCGCGGCCGGUGGUAGGCGCCGGUCUCUGGAGUCACGUGGCCGCCUGCCUUCUGUGACGUCGGGGCGGCUUCAGUGUUGCAGCGUUCGGCCCCUGGAAUUCUGAGAACUAAUUUGCUAUUCGGUGACAUAAGAGAGAUCCGGGGCUGAGGCCACCCCGCUCUCGGUCGUGAAAGCCCCGCAAACACCGCCGGCCUCCUCGCAGUACACCAGAUCCCCCCCCCCCCCCCAGCUCUGCUCACCCCCCCAGCAAAAUGCGUUACAAUGUAGGGACCUGGGAGAGGGUGUUGGGGGGAGGUUUUCAUAACGCAGGAGGGGGGGGGGAAACCCUAAUUAAAAAAGCAGGAGGAGGAGGCAGACAAAAUCUCAGGCAGUCCGUAGGGAGGCGAGACACAGAACCGUUUAACGUUAUUUUUUGCAUCUGCUUGAGCAAGUUUCUCCUGUUAAAAAGAUCCCGGGAUCCUGCUGCCUUGGACGCUUUUUGAAAAAUAAUCCGUCUUUUUUUUAUUUUUUUUUAAUGUUCCAUCCACCUCUUUUUGGCUCUCACGAUCGUGCAAGGGAUUUACUUUCGACGAAAGAAGCUUCUUCCCCCCAUCCCCCCCAGACAGAUCUGUGUUUUAAUUAUGGUUUUGGCAUUGCUUUUUUUCAUGUGAGGAAUAUCCUUGUUCUUGAAAAGAAAUAGACUCGGAGGGUUAUGUUUUCGUUUGGUCCUUUUCUUUUUCCCCUCCUUCCCUUUCCAGGACUCUUCGCAGUUGUUGUCAUUGUUGCUGAUUCGUGCAAAAUAGAUUGUAAACAGUGUGUCAAUAGAUAGCUUCCUCUGGGUGGAGGGAAAUGUCAAGCUACGGUAGUGUGGAAUUUUUUUUAUUACUUUUGGUUUUUUAAAGCAGCUGUAGACUGUUUCGGGAGGGAACUGUAAAGGCCUGCCCUGCCUUCUGCCUUUGCCAUUGGAGGAGACUUCAGCCAGCAGUGAAAAUGGAAAACCCUCAGAAUACUCUGCCUGAUCCCAGAAGACUUGCCCUGCGACUGCUGUGUUCAUUACAAAACAAUCCUGCAAUUAAAAUAAACUCCAAGAGCUAAACAAACUGCCCCUCUUGCUGAUCAUUUGUUGAUUUCAGUUCCUUAUGCUUAGAACAAUUUUUCCCCCAGCACUGGUAUCAGAGGUGGCAGCAGCUGGAGUUGUGGAACAACCAGGGGGAAACACCCUAAUGUUUGUAAACUACAGGAGAGGGGAGUAGGAGGGAGAUAUUAUUAUGUUAAAUAGUGUUUUUAUUGGAGUAUUCAUGAUCUGGCAGGAUCCUUCCUUCUGGGGAAAGGACUGGAAGUGGAAAAACUUGAUUUGCAUGGUAGGGCCUGGCUUUUUGUACACACCCUCGGUACACCGGACCAUACUAAACCAGCUAUGAAGGCUGCUGCAGAUCACUCACAGUCCAAGAAUGUGCAUGGGGACUACACUGGUACUUUUCCAUUCACAUGCCCACAGUGGAGUGUCUUGUUUAUUUCAUCCUUCAUGCAACAAAGGGACACAGGCUGCAGAAGGGGAGGGAGAGAGAUUUUCAGCCUAUCUGCCUAAAAACCUCCCUGUACUUUCAACUGGAGAAGUUAUUAUUCACUCAUCCACCUAAAAAGAAACCACUCAACAGUUGUGUUACUGGUUUCACACAUGUUAUCACACUAUCUCUCUCUAAAUAAAACCUCAAUUUUCAGAUAUUCUGGAGACUAAAUCUAGAAUACCAAGGCAAUUGGAUAAUCAAGGCAAUUGUCAAUGUAAUUCCAAGACAGUGAGGGCACUUGGCCCAGUGUCACACAACAGGACAGUUCAGAUAAUGAGACUUGGAGAACUGGAUAAUCAUAUUUUAUCAGUAAAUUUGGCAUUAAUGUAUUAUUGAGAAAUUAUCCUGAUAAUUGACAGAUCUACUUUCCCGUCAUUACUAUGAGAUUCACUGUGAAACUUGUCUGUCAAAAAUUACUUUCCCCAGGUAAGUGUAAGAGUAGAAUGUUUGCAGUUUUUCCUCUCUCUCUCUCUCUCUCUCUCUCUCUCUCUCUCUCUCUCUCUAUCUAUCUAUCUAUCUAUCCCUGCAAAUACUUACAGCCAGGAAAGUAAUUACACAGGAUGUAUGUAAGGGUAUCUAUUGUUCCCAUCACCGUGUAAGUAGGCAUCACAAUUCUAUGCCACACAUACAUGAUCUUUGGUUUAAAAGGUAAAUUUCAAACCCAAGUACUAGUGAGCAUCCAGCCAAUCACAGAAAAUUAUCCUUCCUCCUCUCUGCCCCCAAUCAAUUUUUAACCAAUUACAGACCAAAGUCUGUGGGGCUUGGUUUGUUUUUUUCCUUUUCUGCUGAGUUUGUUGGUGAUUAAGUAGAGCAAAAUUAAGUGAUUCACAUGUAGUAAGGGAAAUUUACGAAGACCUUGUACCACUGACCUAUAACAUUUUCAAAUACAACCAUACAUUCCAUACUCCCUUCCCCAUGCCUUACCCCUAUUUUUUCUUUUUUGCCUGCUGCUUCUUGUUAGAAUUUGUCUCAUUUGAAAAUAUUAAGCAUGAGACUUGUGGAAAUUUAAAACUCACCAUGUAUUUUAAGCUGUGCUAGAAAUGGCUUUUUUUUUUUUUU